GACGAACGCUGGCGGCGUGCUUAACACAUGCAAGUCGAACGGAAAGGCCCUAAUUUUGUGGUGUGCUCGAGUGGCGAACGGGUGCGUAACACGUGUGUAACCUGCCCUUCUUUUUGGGAUAGCUUCAGGAAACUAGGGCUAAUACCAGAUCGGAUCUCAUGCUCGGUGGUAGGGGUUGGAAAGUUUCGGCGGUUGGGGAUGGACUCGCGGCUUAUCAGCUUGUUGGUGGGGUAGUGGCUUACCAAGGCUUUGACGGGUCGCCGGCCUGAGAGGGUGACCGGCCACAUGGCGACUGAGAUACGGCGCAGACGCCUACGGGAGGCAGCAGUGGGGAAUAUUGCACAAUGGGCGGAAGUCGGAGGCAGCAACGCCGCGUGCGGGAUGACGGUCUUCGGGGUGUAAAACGCUGCCGCUUGUGACGACGCGGGAGUGACGGUAAUGGGUAAAGAAGCACCGGCUAACUACGUG
rnacentral:rRNA from 1 species